UACGUAGGUGACAAGCGUUGUCCGGAUUUACUGGGCGUAAAGAGCGCGCAGGCGGUUAGUUAAGUCUGAUGUUUAAGGCUGAGGCUCAACCUCGGUUCGCAUCGGAAACUGAUUAGCUUGAGUACAGAAGAGGAAAGUGGAAUUCCAUGUGUAGCGGUGAAAUGCGUAGAUAUAUGGAGGAACACCAGUGGCGAAGGCGACUUUCUGGGCUGUAACUGACGCUGAGGCGCGAAAGCGUGGGGAGCAAACAGG
rnacentral:rRNA from 1 species